rnacentral:rRNA from 1 species
GGUGAACGCUGGCGGCGUGCCUAAUACAUGCAAGUCGAGCGAAUGGAUUAAGAGCUUGCUCUUAUGAAGUUAGCGGCGGACGGGUGAGUAACACGUGGGUAACCUGCCCAUAAGACUGGGAUAACUCCGGGAAACCGGGGCUAAUACCGGAUAACAUUUUGAACCGCAUGGUUCGAAAUUGAAAGGCGGCUUCGGCUGUCACUUAUGGAUGGACCCGCGUCGCAUUAGCUAGUUGGUGAGGUAACGGCUCACCAAGGCAACGAUGCGUAGCCGACGUGGGAGGGUGAUCGGCCACACUGGGACUGAGACACGGCCCAGACUCCUACGGGAGGCAGCAGUAGGGAAUCUUCCGCAAUGGACGAAAGUCUGACGGAGCAACGCCGCGUGAGGGAUGAAGGCUUUCGGGUCGUAAAACUCUGUUGUUAGGGAAGAACAAGUGCUAGUUGAAUAAGCUGGCACCUUGACGGUACCUAACCAGAAAGCCACGGCUAACUACGUGCCAGCCGCCGCGGUAA